GACGAACGCUGGCGGCGUGCUUAACACAUGCCAGUCGAACGGAAAGGCCCUGCUUUUGUGGGGUGCUCGAGUGGCGAACGGGUGAGUAACACGUGAGUAACCUGCCCUUGACUUUGGGAUAACUUCAGGAAACUGGGGCUAAUACCGGAUAGGAGCUCCUGCUGCAUGGUGGGGGUUGGAAAGUUUCGGCGGUUGGGGAUGGACUCGCGGCUUAUCAGCUUGUUGGUGGGGUAGUGGCUUACCAAGGCUUUGACGGGUAGCCGGCCUGAGAGGGUGACCGGCCACAUUAGGACUGAGAUACGGCCCAGACUCCUACGGGAGGCAGCAGUGGGGAAUAUUGCACAAUGGGCGGAAGCCUGAUGCAGCAACGCCGCGUGCGGGAUGACGGCCUUCGGGUUGUAAACCGCUUUCGCCUGUGACGAAGCGUGAGUGACGGUAAUGUGUAAAGAAGCACCGGCUAACUACGUG
rnacentral:rRNA from 1 species